AACGAACGCUGGCGGCAUGCCUAACACAUGCAAGUCGAACGGGAUCCUAGCUUGCUAGGUGAGAGUGGCGGACGGGUGAGUAACACGUGGGAAUCUGCCUUUUGGUUCGGGAUAACCGCGGGAAACUGCGGCUAAUACCGAAUGCCCUCGAGAGAGGAAAGAUUUAUCGCCAGAAGAGGAGCCCGCGUCCGAUUAGGUAGUUGGUGGGGUAAAGGCCUACCAAGCCGACGAUCGGUAGCUGGUCUGAGAGGAUGAUCAGCCACACUGGGACUGAGAUACGGCCCAGACUCCUACGGGAGGCAGCAGUGGGGAAUAUUGGACAAUGGGGGCAACCCUGAUCCAGCAAUGCCGCGUGAGUGAAGAAGGCCUGGUGUAAGCUCUUUUGUUCUAGGGAAGGAAACGGUA
rnacentral:rRNA from 1 species